UUAUAGUGGGGGAGUAGCCUUUCGAAAGGAAGAUUAAUACCGCAUAAGAUUGUAGUAUCGCAUGAUAUAGCAAUUAAAGGAGCAAUUCGCUAUAAGAUGGACCCGCGUCGCAUUAGCUAGUUGGUGAGGUAAUGGCUCACCAAGGCGACGAUGCGUAGCCGACCUGAGAGGGUGAUCGGCCACACUGGGACUGAGACACGACCCAGACUCCUACGGGAGGCAGCAUG
rnacentral:rRNA from 1 species